GAGGGAAAGGCGAAAAGAACCCCGGCGAGGGGAGUGAAAAAGAACCUGAAACCGUGUACGUACAAGCAGUAGGAGCCCCAUCACUCAAGUGCCUCGCACUGAGUGAUGCAAGAACAUCACCGAAAAUAGCGCCGAAUUUGCUAACAAGGUUGGUCGAUUUUUUCAAGCCGUCGCGCAGUGUACCUAGAAGUACACGAGCAACGGAAGUUAAAAAAUCGGGCAAGAUUGAACGCAAAGGCAAGCGGGACAUUUGAGGAUGGGGUGACUGCGUACCUUUUGUAUAAUGGGUCAGCGACUUAUAUUCUGUAGCAAGGUUAACCGUAUAGGGGAGCC
rnacentral:rRNA from 1 species